AGAUGGAGUGUCGGUGUUACUGCUGCGUGACCCCCAGUCCCAAGCCUGACGGCAGAAGCAGCACGCUCCCAGCCGGAGGAUGAAGUGUUUGCAGCGCUGCAGCCGCGGGUUCCAGCCCGCCCGCCCCCGCAGGCCGGGGCAGGCGCUGUGCCGGCUCGGUGCCGCUGCUCCAGCUGCCCGCAGCCCGGCUGCUCGGAGGGCAGCAGCUCGGCAAGGCUGCCGGCAGGGCCAGGUGUGCACCACCCCUCUUCACACCGCUUUUGACGUGCUCUUGCUGUUGUGCGUGUGAACGUGAGUGGUUUGCGCCUGGCGGAGAGCCCCGCUGCCUUCCCAGGCAACGCCGGUGCCAGCGGCUCCGGAUACGCUGCCGGCCCAGGAGUCACUUCGUGACUUUUGCGCUAACAUGAUGUGUUCCUGCUGCUUUGAGAACGACAAAGCUCUGUUGUACUUGUGCCAAAAUAAAGGCAUUUUACACUGUG